UGUAAGCAACUCUGACAAUGCAUGCAUGCUUGAAUUUGCAGUGCAAACGAUUGGACAGAGAUGAUAAUGUAAAGGACGAGGCAUUGGUAGUGUGUUUGCAACAAGCUGUCCUGUUUUGACCAACAGAGAAUGUUGCUUUUCAAAGUUUCGUUGCUAAUAUCGUCCCUCAGUGUCUUGUGAAGACAUCAGCGACACUGAAAACUCGCUGAAUUGCGUACGGAAAUGGUUAUUGUCAAUUAACCUCAUUCAUCUUAGCAGCCUUCCCAACUAGACAAUGCCACAAUGAAUGCAGAAAAAACAUCAGGGGGGACAACACCUUAUGCACAGCCCUCGAAAACUCUCCCCAAAACAGCACCAGAGCCUGCGAAUGUGCAAACGAUUGGACAGAGAUGAUAAUGUAAAGGACGAGGCAUUGGCAGUGUGUUUGCAACAAGCUGUCCUGUUUUGCCCAACAGAU